UUGCUUGCUUCGGCAGCACAUAUACUAAAAUUGGAAUGAUACAGAGAAGAUUAACAUGGCCCCUGUGCAAAAAUUCGUGAAGUGUUCCAUAUUUUU
rnacentral:snRNA from 1 species